CAAUAUAUUUCAAGAUGAUGGAUCUUUUACAAAAAUAUUACUAAUUGAUCCAAUUAAUACAAUUUGUAUAUACAGGUCCUGUAUAUACCUGCCAUAGGCUGUCCACUUCUGAAAGAUGGGUCUACCAAAUUGUAGAAGACUGGGAUCACUAGGCGUGAUUGGAUCCCAUAAAUAAACUUUUCAAGGGAUGGACCCAGAAUCUAACACAGGUUCAUUUGGUGGAAAGGUAAAACAUUUCCAUGCAGCCAAUAAGACCAGUGAUUAUUAUCCAUCCAAAAAUAAUUCCACCAACCUCAAGGCUCCUCCUCUUAUAUGUAGGAUAUCUCAUUUCAAAUCUGAAUUCUUUGAUAAAGAGUUUGGGCUAUCUCUCAGAGCAUCUGUAUUUUUCAUUCAAGGAGAAUUCAUAACAAAAGUCUUAACUAAUGC
rnacentral:lncRNA from 1 species